GACGAACGCUGGCGGCGUGCUUAACACAUGCAAGUCGAACGGAAAGGCCCUUCGGGGUACUCGAGUGGCGAACGGGUGAGUAACACGUGGGUGAUCUGCCCUGCACUUUGGGAUAAGCCUGGGAAACUGGGUCUAAUACCGAAUAUGAUCAUCGGCUUCAUGGUCGGUGGCGGAAAGCUUUUGCGGUGUGGGAUGGGCCCGCGGCCCAUCAGCUUGUUGGUGGGGUAAUGGCCUACCAAGGCGACGACGGGUAGCCGGCCUGUGAGGGUGACCGGCCACACUGGGACUGAGAUACGGCCCAUACUCCUACGGGAGGCAGCAGUGGGGAAUAUUGCACAAUGGGCGCAAGCCUGAUGCAGCGACGCCGCGUGAGGGAUGACGGCCUUCGGUUUGUAAACCUCUUUCAGCACAGACGAAGCGCAAGUGACGGUAUGUGCAGAAGAAGGACCGGCCAGCUACGUG
rnacentral:rRNA from 1 species